GUGUCAGCAGCCGCGGUAAUACGUAGGGUGCUAGCGUUAAUCGGAAUUACUGGGCGUAAAGGGUGCGCAGGCGGUCCUGUAAGUCAGAUGUGAAAUCCCCGGGCUUAACCUGGGAAUUGCGUUUGAAACUACAGAGCUAGAGUGUAAAAGAGGGAGGUGGAAUUCCAUGUGUAGCAGUGAAAUGCGUAGAGAUAUGGAAGAACAUCGAUGGCGAAGGCAGCCUCCUGGUUUAACACUGACGCUCAUGCACGAAAGCGUGGGGAGCAAACAGGAUUAGAUACCCUGGUAGUCCACGCCCUAAACCAUGUCAACUAGUUGUUGGGCUUUAAAAAGCUUAGUAACGUAGCUAACGCGUGAAGUUGACCGCCUGGGGAGUACGGUCGCAAGAUUAAA
rnacentral:rRNA from 1 species